rnacentral:siRNA from 1 species
AACCACCUAUCCGUCCAGAACCU